AAAAGCUUGAGUAUAGAAAUGUUGAGGUGGUGUGGUGAUUGAUGUGCUGUGUAUAUCCCAGGAUGCUUUAAAGGCUUGUUUAGUGCUUUGAAGAAUAAAAUGAUUGCUCUAGUUCGGUCAUGAGUUUGCUAAGACACUAAAACUUAUUGUUUGAAUCUUGUACUCAUGAACUGAAAUUGAUUGAAUUAAUGCUGAGAACUGUGUAAUCCCGGAUCUAAUGAUGUUUGUCAGGAAGUUAGUAGACGUCUAAACCUGCUUGUGUUUCAUGAAAUGAAUCCGCUGGCUGUCUUACAUUGAAGCAUUAGAUUCAUGUCUAAGUGCUGAGUAAAGAAGCUCUUAAGAGUGCCUAAGUAACUUGUCUUGAAUCUGUUAGGAUCUUGCUUGUACUUAGAGAGU
rnacentral:lncRNA from 1 species